GGAGGGGUGGCCGAGUGGCUGAAGGCAGCGGUCUUGAAAACCGCCGAUGGGUAACCAUCCCAGAGUUCGAAUCUCUGCUCCUCCGCCA
rnacentral:tRNA from 1 species